AUAUGCAUAAACAAAGCAGUUAUCGCGAUUUGCCUAUGCCUACUACACUGAAAUUAUUCUACGUGUUUAUUGUAUAAGCAAUUUCAUAUGAGUUUAAAUCAUAGCCGGUCUAAUUAAUUUCAAUUGAUCACUUAUAUGUGUCACAACAAAAACCUUUUGGAUUCAAUGGCCUUCAAAUAAAUAUUAGUAAUAGUAGCUCUUGUUCAAGUUAUAUGAAUAUGUUAUAAUUAACUUACGUUCCGUGCAUAUAAUUUCGGCUAACUUUUCUCGCUGUGAAAGUUAUAUGCGUGUAUGUCAUAUUGACAUUAUCAUUUCGGUAAAGCACAAAAAUCAACAAUGGCGGACAAACGUGAGCAAUUGUUGUUGGAUUCCAGCCCAAUAACAUUUUCGAUCUUCUUGCUGGUAAGUUAGUACAGAAUAUGAGAAAAUGUAAUUACAUUGGAGCUGGUUUUCAGAUUUAAACAUUGGUUUUCGAGAACUAUGCGUAAUUACUAUCGGAGUGCUAGAGGAAGCACUACAGUUGGCGAGCUUGGAUGAAGGGUACGUUUGGAACACACAACAAAUUUUCGGCGCCAUAGUUCCGUGGCGACAUAGAAAUCAAAUUGAGCUCCAUAAUCUUCUGGACUGC